rnacentral:rRNA from 1 species
UACGUAGGGUGCGAGCGUUGUCCGGAUUUAUUGGGCGUAAAGAGCGCGUAGGCGGGGCUUUAAGUCAGAUGUGAAAUCCCCAGGCUCAACCUGGGAACAGCAUUUGAAACUGAAGAUCUUGAGGGUAGUCGGAGAAAAUGGAAUUCCACGUGUAGCGGUGAAAUGCGUAGAUAUGUGGAAGAACACCGGUGGCGAAGGCGAUUUUCUAGAUUAUACCUGACGCUGAGGCGCGAAAGCAAGGGGAUCAAACAGG